CUCCGGUUGAUCCCGCCGGACCCGACUGCUAUCAGAGUGGGACUAAGCCAUGCGAGUCAACGUAGCAAUACGUGGCAUACGGCUCAGUAACACGUAGUCAACAUGCCCAGGGGACGAGGAUAACCUCGGGAAACUGAGGAUAAACCUCGAUAGGCCAUGAUUUCUGGAAUGAUUCUUGGCUCAAACCUAUAUGGCCCCUGGAUUGGACUGCGGCCGAUCAGGCUGUUGGUGAGGUAAUGGCCCACCAAACCUAUUACCGGUACGGGCUCUGAGAGGAGGAGCCCGGAGAUGGGCACUGAGACAAGGGCCCAGGCCCUAUGGGGCGCAGCAGGCGCGAAACCUCUGCAAUAGGCGAAAGCUUGACAGGGUUACUCUGAGUGAUUUCCGCUAAGGGAAUCUUUUGGCACCUCUAAAAAUGGUGCAGAAUAAGGGGUGGGCAAGUCUGGUGUCAGCCGCCGCGGUAAUACCAGCACCCCGAGUGGUCGGGACGAUUAUUGGGCCUAAAGCAUCCGUAGCCGGUCCUGCAAGUCUUCCGUUAAAUCCAGCUGCUCAACAGAUGGGCUGCGGGAGAUACUACAGGGCUAGGAGGCGGGAGAGGCAAGCGGUACUUUAUGGGUAGGGGUAAAAUCCGCUGAUCCAUAGAAGACCACCAGUGGCGAAGGCGGCUUGCCAGAACGCGCUCGACGGUGAGGGAUGAAAGCUGGGGGAGCAAACCGGAUUAGAUACCCGGGUAGUCCCAGCUGUAAACGAUGCAGACUCGGUGAUGGGUUGGCCUCGCGCCUGCCCAGUGCCGCAGGGAAGCCGUUAAGUCUGCCGCCUGGGGAGUACGGUCGCAAGACUGAAACUUAAAGGAAUUGGCGGGGGGAGCA
rnacentral:rRNA from 1 species